AACGUGCCCUGUAGUGGGGGAUAACUAGUCGAAAGAUUAGCUAAUACCGCAUACGACCUGAGGGUGAAAGUGGGGGACCGCAAGGCCUCAUGCUAUAGGAGCGGCCGAUGUCUGAUUAGCUAGUUGGUGGGGUAAAGGCCCACCAAGGCGACGAUCAGUAGCUGGUCUGAGAGGACGAUCAGCCACACUGGGACUGAGACACGGCCCAGACUCCUACGGGAGGCAGCAGUGGGGAAUUUUGGACAAUGGGCGAAAGCCUGAUCCAGCAAUGCCGCGUGUGUGAAGAAGGCCUUCGGGUUGUAAAGCUCUUUUGUCCGGAAAGAAAUGGCUCUGGUUAAUACCUGNGGUCGAUGACGGUACCGGAAGAAUAAGGACCGGCUAACUACGUGCCAGCAGCCGCGGUAAUACGUAGGGUCCAAGCGU
rnacentral:rRNA from 1 species